AUGUCAUGGAAAAUUGCCAUGGGUAUGCGCUGGGAGGGUCUAUCUGCUGGCGAGAAUGAUAGAUCUGAAGAUGAUUUCUUCGGUCAGUGGCGAGUCGUAUACAUCGGCGGAGGCGCGCAGAGUGGCGACGGAGGAGGCACGCAGGAACAACCUGCCAAGGAGGAGCAGGCGGCUGUGGAUAAUUCGGCGGCGAUGGGGGAUCCCGAGGCGGCGGCGUACCCAAGCUGGCUGCAGAGCGAACAGAUGGAGUUGUUCGUGAGGAGGCAGACGGAAGAGAGGCAUGCCCGAUUGGACGACUGGUCGUCGCCCAACGAGAGGGCCGUCUGCGCUCGUAGCUACCGCAACGGCUGGAACCAAAUGUGGGCAUGCCAACGAGGCACCUACGAGGACACCAUUAUCACGGCAUACAACUAUGCAGCGGCUAUCCCGGCCAUGCGUUAUACGGACGUCAAGCCACCAGCAUGGCGUCACGUCGGUCCGAUAGGAACUUUGCAGAUCUUUUCCUUCAAAGUCACCGCAAUAGCAGAGGAAUUGCAGUGGCCACUAGAUGUGUAUGGCUUGAUCGCGAUAAGAGACCACCUAGACCGCAACCGCAAUAUCAUCUUUGCUCGCGCGAGGGAUAACUGUCAAACCAUCAGUUUGGAGUUUUAA
rnacentral:rRNA from 1 species